UAAGUCCCUACCUAGCUUCUCUCAG
rnacentral:misc_RNA from 1 species